CCAGAGAAAGCUAGGAGGAAAAGGAAGAAGAAACUGCUGGCGUCUUUGAAUUCUCCCUGCUUUUGUCUGUCUCGUUCCUUGCCCUCUCGCUGUCUCUCGUCGGCCUGACUGACUGGUGCCUGCAGUUUCCUCUUGACACACUCCAGUGAGCCCACCGCCCUCCAUCCGCGCUUUCAAGUUAACGAGCCCCUUCGGUCUCCUCCUCGUGUCUGCGAGUCGAGCUAGGAUAUGAGUGUAAUGCCGUGAGGUCGCUGGCUGCGCUCUCCCUGUGCCUCUGUUCUUACCUGACCCUGCCAUGACCAGCAAGUGUCUUAAGACGGUUGUGCCCGCACAAGUACAGCUUGGCUGAAUCCUAAACUCCGCAUUUGCAGACUCACGGACUUCAAGGCGUUUACUGAUCCUAAACACAUCUCCAACACAACUGUUGACAAAAAUACACACUGGCCAAAUGUCAGCAGCACUACUACUGCUGUC